rnacentral:lncRNA from 1 species
UUUUCCGCCCUUGUGCAACUCCGAAAACAUUUUCAGAAAAGAGUAUGCAACAUCUGUUUUGAUGCGAAACAAACAAAGACUUCAGCCUCCAAGAGCGAGCAGCAAGUAAAGGUUUAAUCACUCAAAUGUGAUCCUAGCAUCACUCUCUUUAAAAGCAAUCCAUCUAGUAGUUCUCUUUGGGUAGAACUACGUAUGCCUUGAGUUUUUCAUAGCACCUGGAGAUACGUAAGAGCAGGAUUGCGAAAUCUUGUCAGGCACAUU